rnacentral:rRNA from 1 species
AGGGCGCACGGUGAAUGCCUUGGCACUAGGAGCCGAUGAAGGACGGGACUAACACCGAUAUGCUUCGGGGAGCUGUAAGUGAGCUUUGAUCCGGAGAUUUCCGAAUGGGGAAACCCACUGUUCGUAAUGGAACAGUAUCUUUAUCUGAAUACAUAGGAUAUUGAAGGCAGACCCGGGGAACUGAAACAUCUAAGUACCCGGAGGAAGAGAAAGCAAAUGCGAUUUCCUGAGUAGCGGCGAGCGAAACGGAAUUAGCCCAAACCAAGAGGCUUGCCUCUUGGGGUUGUAGGACACUCUAUACGGAGUUACAAAGGAACGAAGUAAAUGAAGCGACCUGGAAAGGUCCGUCGAAGAAGGUAACAACCCUGUAGUUGAAACUUCGUUCCCUCUUGAGUGGAUCCUGAGUACGGCGGAACACGUGAAAUUCCGUCGGAAGCUGGGAGGACCAUCUCCCAAGGCUAAAUACUACCUAGUGACCGAUAGUGAACCAGUACCGUGAGGGAAAGGUGAAAAGCACCCCGGAAGGGGAGUGAAAGAGAUCCUGAAACCGUGUGCCUACAAGUAGUCAGAGCCCGUUAAUGGGUGAUGGCGUGCCUUUUGUAGAAUGAACCGGCGAGUUACGAUCCCAUGCAAGGUUAAGCUGAUAAGGCGGAGCCGUAGCGAAAGCGAGUCUGAAUAGGGCGUUUAGUAUGUGGUUGUAGACCCGAAACCAGGUGAUCUACCCAUGUCCAGGGUGAAGUUCAGGUAACACUGAAUGGAGGCCCGAACCCACGCACGUUGAAAAGUGCGGGGAUGAGGUGUGGGUAGCGGAGAAAUUCCAAUCGAACCUGGAGAUAGCUGGUUCUCUCCGAAAUAGCUUUAGGGCUAGCCUCAUGUUGUGAGAGUCUUGGAGGUAGAGCACUGAUUGGACUAGGGGCCCCCAACGGGUUACCGAAUUCAGUCAAACUCCGAAUGCCAAAGACUUAUCCAUGGGAGUCAGACUGCUAGUGAUAAGAUCCGUAGUCAAAAGGGAAACAGCCCAGACCACCAGCUAAGGUCCCCAAGUAUACGUUAAGUGGAAAAGGAUGUGGAGUUGCUUAGACAACCAGGAUGUUGGCUUAGAAGCAGCCACCAUUUAAAGAGUGCGUAAUAGCUCACUGGUCGAGUGACUCUGCGCCGAAAAUGUACCGGGGCUAAACGUAUCACCGAAGCUGUGGAUUGACAUCUUUGAUGUCAGUGGUAGGAGAGCGUUCUAAGUGCAGCGAAGUCAGACCGUAAGGACUGGUGGAGCGCUUAGAAGUGAGAAUGCCGGUAUGAGUAGCGAAAGACAAGUGAGAAUCUUGUCCACCGAAUGCCUAAGGUUUCCUGAGGAAGGCUCGUCCGCUCAGGGUUAGUCGGGACCUAAGCCGAGGCUGAAAAGCGUAGGCGAUGGCCAACAGGUUGAUAUUCCUGUACCACCUCCCCGCCGUUUGAGUAAUGGGGGGACGCAGUAGGAUAGGGUAAGCGCGCUGCUGGAUAUGCGCGUUCAAGCAGUUAGGCUGAUGAGUAGGCAAAUCCGCUCAUCAUGAAAGCUGAGCUGUGAUGACGAGGGAACUAUAGUACCGAAGUUCCUGAUUCCACACUGCCAAGAAAAGCCUCUAGCGAGGCGGGAGGUGCCCGUACCGCAAACCGACACAGGUAGGCGAGGAGAGAAUCCUAAGGUGAUCGAGAGAACUCUCGUUAAGGAACUCGGCAAAAUGACCCCGUAACUUCGGGAGAAGGGGUGCUCUGGUAGGGUGUAUAGCCCGAGAGAGCCGCAGUGAAUAGGCCCAGGCGACUGUUUAGCAAAAACACAGGUCUCUGCGAAGCCGCAAGGCGAAGUAUAGGGGCUGACGCCUGCCCGGUGCUGGAAGGUUAAGAGGAGGGGUUAUCCUUUGGGAGAAGCUCUGAAUCGAAGCCCCAGUAAACGGCGGCCGUAACUAUAACGGUCCUAAGGUAGCGAAAUUCCUUGUCGGGUAAGUUCCGACCCGCACGAAAGGCGUAACGAUCUGGGCACUGUCUCAACGAGAGACUCGGUGAAAUUAUAGUACCUGUGAAGAUGCAGGUUACCCGCGACAGGACGGAAAGACCCCGUGGAGCUUUACUGUAGCCUGAUAUUGAAUUUUGGUACAGCUUGUACAGGAUAGGUAGGAGCCUGAGAAGCCGGAGCGCUAGCUUCGGUGGAGGCGUCGGUGGGAUACUACCCUGGCUGUAUUGAAAUUCUAACCCGCGGCCCUGAUCGGGCCGGGAGACAGUGUCAGGUGGGCAGUUUGACUGGGGCGGUCGCCUCCUAAAAUGUAACGGAGGCGCCCAAAGGUUCCCUCAGAAUGGUUGGAAAUCAUUCGUAGAGUGUAAAGGCACAAGGGAGCU